AUAAAAAAAUUAUCAUAAAACAAUUUUAUUGCAGUCAUAAAAAUCCUUGCUGUAUUGACAAAUUCAGUAUUGUGGAUUAUUUAAAUGUUGAAAAUGUUUUUUGUAUUUUAUAUUUUGCCGUAUUUUUUGCUUUUAACUGACGCUAAGCAGAGCACCCGUAAUGCUAUGGGCCCACCUUGUUAUGGCCGCUCCGACUGUGUCCCCUACUCUGAAAAUACUGACAAUGCAUCUGAAAUCACAACUGUACGUAACGCAACGCCAAAACGCUACAUAAAAGUUAAUAAUUUUAAAAGUCCAAUUUUCGGCGCUUACAAGUAUGACCCGUUGCUCGGAGAUUUUGUAAUAUCGCGUACCACGUCCCCACCACCGGACAUUGACGGUACCACAGAGAGGUCAGAUAUAGUUAUGAGGGCUGCUGAAGAAAAGUCCAAACGUACUAAUAAUCACAAACUCACUACAACCAUUACUACAACCGAAGAAAAACCUAAAAAUCGUACAAAAGAAAGCAAGAAUCGUAGAAGAAAUAUGAAUCAUGUCUCACAAUUGUAAUAAGUCGUAAUAACAGGCCAUUUUAUUAACAAAGUAAAUCAAUAUACUAGUAA